AUCCAGAAGACCAGUUCCAAAUAGGACGAAAUGUGCAUCCUAGAU
rnacentral:hammerhead_ribozyme from 1 species